UCUCAAGUAAUUGGAGUAUUCUAGGGUUUUUGACAAGGAGUAUUUGGGUGAGCUAAAUAACUAAGAUUGGGAUAUUUUAGAGUAGUUAAGGAUAUGUGAAUAGUACGAGGCGCAAGUGGUGGGAUCUUGAAGGUGACUUUUGAAACUAGGAGAAAACUUAGUCCUAGUAUUGGAGCAUAUCACGAGCUUUUGGUUAUUUGGAUAUUCCCUUCGACCCUUUGUAUUUCUGGUAAAUCAUUGUGCUUGAUUUUGGUGCUUGUGAUGC